UUGUGGAUGGCAGAAGAUCAGAACACCAGUCCUCUCCGUCUUAGACUUAGUACAUUUUUUUGCUUUCUGAGGCAGAUGCCAAGUCUCAGAGAGUAUGACGACAGCUGGGUAAGAUCUUAGAACCACGUUCACAUUUGCCUGUGUCAAGUUUCCGCCCAGUGAGAAAAGGGGGAGGAGAAGGGGAAGAGGAGGAGAGAGAAGAAGAAGAAGGAGAAG